rnacentral:tRNA from 1 species
GGUGCAUCUGGCAUGGCCAGGCAGCACGCCCCUUUGCAGCAGGGGCGGGGCAUUUUGCAGGCGAAGUUUGGGGGCUUCAAUACAUUC